rnacentral:piRNA from 1 species
GCGGAUGCUGGCACUGCGAUUGGCGAC